rnacentral:rRNA from 1 species
AGAGUGGCAAACGGGUGAGUAACGCGUGGGUAACGUACCCUGAUCCUGGGAAUAACCCUCGGAAACGAGGGCUAAUACCGAAUGUGGCGAACGACCGGUUGGUCGCUCGCUAAAGGUGGCCUCUUCUAUGCUGCCGGGUUGGGAUCGGCCCGCGUCCCAUUAGCUAGUUGGUGAGGUAACGGCUCACCAAGGCCACGAUGGGUAGCCGGCCUGAGAGGGUGUACGGCCACACUGGCACUGAGACAAGGGCCAGUCCCCUAUGGGAGGCGCAGGCGGGAAUAGUUCACAAUGGGCGAAAGCCUGAUGACGCGACGCCGCGUGAGCGAAGAAGACCUUCGGGUUGUAAAGCUCUGUCAGGAGGGAAGAAGGCUCUACGGGUCAAUAGCCCGUGGGAUUGACGGUACCUCCAGAGGAAGCCCCGGCUAAAUACGUGCCAGCAGCCGCGGUAAUACGUAUGGGGCAAGCGUUGUCCGGAUUUACUGGGCGUAAAGGGCGCGUAGGCGGUUUGUUAAGUCGAAGGUGAAAUCCUCGGGCUCAACUCGAGAAUUGCCUUCGAUACUGGCAAACUAGAGUGGCGGAGAGGAAAGCGGAACUCUUGGUGUAACGGUGGAAUGUGUAGAUAUCAAGAGGAACACCGGUGGCGAAGGCGGCUUUCUGGACGCACACUGACGCUCAGGCGCGAAAGCGUGGGUAGCAAACAGGAUUAGAUACCCUGGUAGUCCACGCCAUAAACGAUGGGUACUAGGUGUCGGGGGUAUCGACCCCUCCGGUGCCGCAGUUAACGCACUAAGUACCCCGCCUGGGGAUUAUGGUCGCAAGGCUGAAACUCAAAGGAAUUGACGGGGCCCCGCACAAGCGGUGGAGCAUGUGGUUUAAUUCGACGCAACGCGAAGAACCUUACCUGGGCUUGACAUGCUUGGGACAGCGCUGGAAACAGCGUCUCUCCUUCGGGAGCCCUUGCACAGGUGCUGCAUGGCUGUCGUCAGCUCGUGUCGUGAGAUGUUGGGUUA